GACGAACGCUGGCGGCGUGCCUAAUACAUGCAAGUAGAACGCUGAAGGAGGAGCUUGCUUCUCUGGAUGAGUUGCGAACGGGUGAGUAACGCGUAGGUAACCUGCCUGGUAGCGGGGGAUAACUAUUGGAAACGAUAGCUAAUACCGCAUAAUAGUAGAUGUUGCAUGACAUUUGCUUAAAAGGUGCAAUUGCAUCACUACCAGAUGGACCUGCGUUGUAUUAGCUAGUUGGUGGGGUAACGGCUCACCAAGGCGACGAUACAUAGCCGACCUGAGAGGGUGAUCGGCCACACUGGGACUGAGACACGGCACAGACUCCUACGGGAGGCAGCAGUAGGGAAUCUUCGGCAAUGGACGGAAGUCUGACCGAGCAACGCCGCGUGAGUGAAGAAGGUUUUCGGAUCGUAAAGCUCUGUUGUAAGAGAAGAACGAGUGUGAGAGUGGAAAGUUCACACUGUGACGGUAUCUUACCAGAAAGGGACGGCUAACUACGUG
rnacentral:rRNA from 1 species